rnacentral:rRNA from 1 species
GAUGAACGCUGACAGAAUGCUUAACACAUGCAAGUCCACUUGAAUUUGGGUUUUUAACUUAGGUUUGGGUGGCGGACGGGUGAGUAACGCGUAAAGAACUUGCCUCACAGCUAGGGACAACAUUUGGAAACGAAUGCUAAUACCUAAUAUUAUGAUAAUAGGGCAUCCUAUAAUUAUGAAAGCUAUAAGCGCUGUGAGAGAGCUUUGCGUCCCAUAAGCUAUUUGGGGAGGUAACGGAUAACAAAGCCGAUGAUGGGUAGCCGGCCUGAGAGGGUGAUCGGCCACAAGGGGACUGAGACACGGCCCUUACUCCUAAGGGAGGCAGCAGUGGGGAAUAUUGGACAAUGGACCAAGAGUCUGAUCCAGCAAUUCUGUGUGCACGAUGAAGUUUUUCGGAAUGUAAAGUGCUUUCAGUUGGGAAGAAAGAAAUGACGGUACCAACAGAAGAAGUGACGGCUAAAUACGUG